GACGAACGCUGGCGGCGUGCUUAACACAUGCAAGUCGAACGGUAAGGCCCCUUCGGGGCUACACGUGUGUCGAACGCGGGUGUGUCACGUGAGCGACCUGCCCUUGUCUUUCGGAUACCAGCUGGGAACAGCUCCUCAAACCGGUUAUGACCUCUUCUCUCAUGUGUUUAGUUGGAAAGACCCGGCGGUCAGGGAUGGGCUCGCGGCCUAUCAGCUUGUUGGUGAGGUAAUGGUUCACCAAGGCUUCGACGGGUAGCCGGCCUGAGAGGGCGACCGGCCACACUGGGACUGAGAUACGGCCCAGACUCCUACGGGAGGCAGCAGUGGGGAAUAUUGCACAAUGGGCGCAAGCCUGAUGCAGCAACGCCGCGUGCGGGAUGACGGCCUUCGGGUUGUAAACCGCUUUCAGCAGGGACGAAGCUAACGUGACGGUACCUACAGAAGAAGCACCGGCUAACUACGUG
rnacentral:rRNA from 1 species